rnacentral:rRNA from 1 species
ACGCUCGACACCUACGGGAAGCAGCAGUGGGGAAUAUUGCACAAUGGGGGAAACCCUGAUGCAGCGACGCCGCGUGAGUGAAGAAGUAUUUCGGUAUGUAAAGCUCUAUCAGCAGGGAAGAAAAUGACGGUACCUGACUAAGAAGCCCCGGCUAACUACGUGCCAGCAGCUGCGGUAAUCUGAGCGGGCUGGCAAGGC